rnacentral:tRNA from 1 species
AAAAUCCGUCGACUUUAGAAAUCGUGAGGGUUCAAGUCCCUCUAUCCCCCCAAAAAGACCGAUUUGACUAUUUCUCCUACCCUCUCUUUUUUUUAGUGGUUCAAAACCCGUUCUCUUUCUAAUUCAUUCUACCUUUUUACAAACGUAUCAGAGCAGAAUUUUUUUUUAUCACAAUCACAAGUGGUGUGGUAUAUAUGAUAUACGUACAAAUGAACAUCUUUGAACAAAGAAUCCCGAUUCACAAUUCAUAUCAUUGCUCAUACUGAAACUUAUAAAUUAUUCUAUUCAAUAAAUCGAAUUCCACGCUCAAGACUUUUAAUACUUUUUUUAUCUUUUUUAAUUGACAUAGACCCCAGUCAUCUAGUAAAAUGAGGAUGAUGCGCCGGUAAUGGUCGGGAUAGCUCAGCUGGUAGAGCAGAGGACUGAAAAUCCUCGUGUCAC